rnacentral:misc_RNA from 1 species
UUCCCCGAAAUAAAGCCUCAUGU